rnacentral:piRNA from 1 species
UCUGAGUCAUUAUUAAUUUUUUGAGGUCUU